ACGCACGCUGGCGGCGUGCUUAACACCUGCAAGUCGCACGGUGAGGGGGUCUGCUUUUGUGGGCCCUGGAUGAGUGGCGAACGGGUGAGUAACACGUGAGUAACCUGCCCCCUUCUUCUGGAUAACCGCAUGAAAGUGUGGCUAACACGGGAUAUUCUGGGUCUGUCGCAUGAUGGGUCUGGGAAAGAUUGCGCCUUUGGGUGUUUUUGGUUGGGGAUGGGCUCGCGGCCUAUCAGCUUGUUGGUGGGGUGAUGGCCUACCAAGGCGGUGACGGGUAGCCGGCCUGAGAGGGUGGACGGUCACACUGGGACUGAGACACGGCCCAGACUCCUUCGGGAGGCAGCAGUGGGGAAUAUUGCACAAUGGGCGCAAGCCUGAUGCAGCGACGCCGCGUGAGGGAUGGAGGCCUUCGGGGUGUAAACCUCUUUCGCCAGUGAAGCAGGCCUGCUCCUUGUGGGUGGGUUGACGGUAGCUGGAUAAGAAGCGCCGGCUAACUACGUG
rnacentral:rRNA from 1 species